rnacentral:rRNA from 1 species
AGCAUCACGUAGUUUGAUCCUGGCUACAGAACGACGCUGGCGGCAUGCCUAACACAUGCAAGUCGAACGAGACCUUCGGGUCUAGUGGCGCACGGGUGCGUAACGCGUGGGAAUCUGCCCUUGGGUUCGGAAUAACAGUUAGAAAUGACUGCUAAUACCGGAUGAUGUCUUCGGACCAAAGAUUUAUCGCCCAGGGAUGAGCCCGCGUAGGAUUAGGUAGUUGGUGGGGUAAUGGCCCACCAAGCCGACGAUCCUUAGCUGGUCUGAGAGGAUGAUCAGCCACACUGGGACUGAGACACGGCCCAGACUCCUACGGGAGGCAGCAGUGGGGAAUAUUGGACAAUGGGCGAAAGCCUGAUCCAGCAAUGCCGCGUGAGUGAUGAAGGCCUUAGGGUUGUAAAGCUCUUUUACCAGGGAUGAUAAUGACAGUACCUGGAGAAUAAGCUCCGGCUAACUCCGUG